AGCACCUGGGGAUUUUGUUAAAAUGCAGAUUUGGAUUCACUGGGGUGGGGACUGAGAUUCUACAUUUCUAACAAGCUCUCAGGUGCUCUCCA
ensembl:miRNA